UCACAAGUGAUGAUAGGGAAGAGUAAACCUGUACUGUUUACAGAGAGAAGCCGCCUUGGUUGAAAGCGUCUUUAAAAGAAGGCAGGUUAAAAACCACCCUUGAACUGCAUAGCCGAAAAUUUUAAUCCUCAGGGGAUUAUAGAUCAGUAAGCUUAGCCGGCGGCAAACGUUAAUUGCUCUGAAGUGAGGAAAUUUUAUUUCCUAAUUUGGGUGGAACCACGGAAUAAGACCGUCCCUAUU
rnacentral:ncRNA from 1 species